AGCGCUUUUCAAAAGCGCUCUGGUAGGGGUGUUUAAUGAGAGCGCUUUUUGUCAAAAGCGCUGGUAUAGACCAGGCUAUGAGAGCGCUUUUCAGAAGCGCUUUAGUAGCCUUUAUUACUAAAAAUUAAAAACCAAAACACGCGUUACUGUUUCUCAUUUCUCUCUUUCGUUUUCUGCAGAACCCUUCCGUCCACCACUGUUCUUCAUCCACAAACCCUCACUGCACGCGAAACCCUUCCGUCCACCACCAUCGGCAACCACCGUCGGCGUCCCUCCGUCGGCUUCUCCUCCGUCACUCGUUUUAUCCACCGCCGGUCUGACUGGAUUGAUAACUUUGGAUCUCUUUGGAGCUCGUAUCAUUGACUCUGGUACUACAUAUUUAGGAGGGUAACUUGUGUAUAGUGAAAGUUUGAUCGUUUCCCAGCCUAGUUCGACGUUUGGCGUUUUCUUGAGUUCGGUAACAUCCGAGGGGUUACUUGUGAAGAGUGGAAGUUUGACCGUUGUUGUUUAGCUUAAUUAAGACAUGGAUAAGACAUGGAUGAAUUCAAACCGAUUGUCGAAAGAGUACGAGAAAGGGG